CAGUAGCCGCGGGAAAACGAAGGGUGCAAGCGUUACUCGGAAUUACUGGGCGUAAAGCGUGCGUAGGUGGUGGUUUAAGUCCGUUGUGAAAGCCCUGGGCUCAACCUGGGAAUUGCAGUGGAUACUGGGUCACUAGAGUGUGGUAGAGGAUAGUGGAAUUUCCGGUGUAGCAGUGAAAUGCGUAGAGAUCGGAAGGAACAUCUGUGGCGAAGGCGACUAUCUGGGCCAACACUGACACUGAGGCACGAAAGCGUGGGGAGCAAACAGGAUUAGAUACCCCCGUAGUCCCUGUCUCUUAUAC
rnacentral:rRNA from 1 species